rfam:Gossypium raimondii Chr08_contig_382, whole genome shotgun sequence.
AUCCUAGGAUGAUGACACUUACGAAGUAACUCCUUGAAUCGCUCCUAAGCCUCAUACAAAGACUCGUCAUCCAAUUGUUGGAAAGUUCUAAUCUCGUUCCUCAGCUU